AUGCCGGCGCCCCUGCACCUCGUUUUCGUGCCCUUCCUCGCGCGCAGUCACUUCGCUCCGCUGGCGGCCGCCGCGGCGGCCGCUUGCGGCGAUGGCGCCACCGGCGCCACCAUCCUCACCACGCCGCACUUCGCGGCCCUCGCGCCUCCCUCCGUGCCGGUCCGCGCCGCGCCGUUCAGCUUCCCCGGAGGGCACGAGGACUUCUCCCUGCUCCCGGACGAAGCCUCCGCGCCGGCGUUCUUCUUCGCCGCGGAGGCCACCCUGGCGCCAGCGCUCGCGGAGGCCGUACGCGCCCACGCAGGCGCCGUGGCCGUCGUGUCGGACGCCGUGCUCCACUGGGCGCCCCGCGUCGCCCGCGAGUGCGGCGUCCCGCACGUCACGUUCCACACCAUCGGCGCCUUCGCGGCGGCCUCCAUGGUCGCCGUCCAUCUCCACCGCCCCGACGUCAUAGAGGACCCCGUCGCUCUCCCUGGCGGCUUCCCGGUCCCCGUGAAGCUCCGCAGGGCCCAUGUCAACGAGGAGGCUCUGGCGCACCUCCCCAUCUUCCGCGCGGCCGAGGCUGGGAGCAACGCCGUCGCCUUCAACAGCUUCUCAGCGCUGGAGGCUGAUUUUGCUGAAUACUACCGGAGCGCGGAUGGCUCUCCCAAGAAGGUGUUCCUCGUCGGCCCCAGGCGCGCCGCCCGCAGUGACGUCACCGUCACCGGCGCCGCAGAGCGCGACUCCAUCCUGCAGUGGCUCGACGGCCAGGCAGCCGGGUCGGUGGUGUACGCCUGCUUCGGCAGCACGUGCGGUCUGAGCGCGGACCAGCUCAAGGAGCUGGGCGCCGGGCUGCGCGCAUCCGGCAAGCCGUUCCUCUGGGUGAUCCCGGCGGCGACGGAGGGCACGAAGCAGCACGACGAGCGCGCGUCCGGCCACGGCAUGGUGGUGGCCGGGCGAUGGGCGCCGCAGGCGGAGAUCCUGGCGCACCGAGCGGUAGGCGGCUUCGUGAGCCACUGCGGCUGGAACUCGGUGCUGGACGCCGUGUGCGCCGGCGUGCCCCUCGCGACGUGGCCGCUCCGCGCCGAGCAGUUCCUGAACGAGGCGCUCCUGGUGGACGUGCUCCGCGUGGGCGUGCGGGUGCGGGAGGUGGGCAGCAAGGCGGACGUGGAGGCGGUGGUGCCGGCCGACAAGGUGGCCAGCGCGGUGGGGAAGCUGAUGGACGGCGGUGCGGAUGAAGCCGCGGCUAGGAGGGUGAGGGUGAGGGAGCUCGGCGUCGCGGGUCGCGCUGCGGUGGCGGAAGGAGGGUCAUCGUGCAGUGACUGGGCACGGCUUGUAGAUGAGCUCAAGGCGUUACACGGCCACGGCAACGAUGCACUAACUGACAAGUGA
rnacentral:rRNA from 1 species